rnacentral:lncRNA from 1 species
AAAAUGGGAAAUAAAAAAUUCAAUAAAAGGUCAAGUUGACCAUGAGACAUUGGUCAACCAUCAUCCCAAAAAUCAGAAGCUAAAAAUAAUUUUAAGUUAUGGAAAUAAAAUAAAUGAAAAAAAGUGUGUCAAAAUGGCCUAUUAGACACAAAUAAUUAAAAUAAAAUACUUGCAUUAAAUAAAAACAAGAAUAAAAAUUAAAAUAAAUUAAAUGAAACAUUUAAGAAUGUAAAAA